rnacentral:rRNA from 1 species
AACGUAGGAGGCGAGCGUUAUCCGGAUUCACUGGGCGUAAAGCGCGUGCAGGCGGUUCGGUAAGUUGGGCGUGAAAUCUCCUGGCUUAACUAGGAGAGGUCGUCCAAUACUACCGGGCUAGAGAGUGGUAGAGGAAGAUGGAAUUCCCGGUGUAGUGGUGAAAUGCGUAGAUAUCGGGAGGAACACCAGUGGCGAAAGCGAUCUUCUGGACCAUUUCUGACGCUCAGACGCGAAAGCUAGGGUAGGAAACGGG